rnacentral:rRNA from 1 species
AGUUGUAAUUUGCAGAGGGCGCUUUGGCAUUGGCAGCGGUCCAAGUUCCUUGGAACAGGACGUCACAGAGGGUGAGAAUCCCGUACGUGGUCGCUAGCCUUUACCGUGUAAAGCCCCUUCGACGAGUCGAGUUGUUUGGGAAUGCAGCUCUAAAUGGGAGGUAAAUUUCUUCUAAAGCUAAAUACUGGCCAGAGACCGAUAGCGCACAAGUAGAGUGAUCGAAAGAUGAAAAGCACUUUGGAAAGAGAGUUAAAAAGCACGUGAAAUUGUUGAAAGGGAAGCGCUUGCAGCCAGACUUGCCUGUAGUUGCUCAUCUAGGUUUCUACCUAGUGCACUCUUCUAUAGGCAGGCCAGCAUCAGUUUGGGCGGUUGGAUAAAGGUCUCUGUCAUGUACCUCUCUUCGGGGAGAACUUAUAGGGGAGACGACAUGCAACCAGCCUGGACUGAGGUCCGCGCAUCUGCUAGGAUGCUGGCGUAAUGGCUGUAAGCGGCCCGUCUUGAA